UUAACCUAUAAUAAAUAAUCAGAUCUAAUACCAAAAAACUUAUUAUAACGCCAAAUUACACAUUAUAUUAAAAUUCAUUCCACCACAUUAAAAUUAAAAUAUUAUAUCAAAUACACUUACAUAAAACUGAAAGUACAUGAAAACUCAAAAAGUAUUGUAGCCUUACAAACAGAGUAUUGUAGCAUUACAAAAUGACUGAAUCCUUAUUUUUAUCUUCCAUCAUUGCCCAUUGGUGUCGGAAUUUUGGAGAACAUUUGAACUUGUUGUCUCAAAGGCUCGAGCAAGGAGUCCAAUGUUUUCUUUGAGUUAUCCACUGGUUCACUCUUAAUUCAUAAUCAACAUCACUGUUCUGUUAAGAUCCAACAAAAGUAUUUACGUACAAAAGAGUAAACUUACAUAAAGGAAACGAAUAAAGGUCACCAGAAAAUCAUCAUACCUUAGCUCUAAAGUUGUUGUCUAGAAGUAUGUUUGAUGAUUUAAUAUCUCUGUGGAUUAUAUGAGGAUGACCUGAAAAAUUAAAUUCAAACAAGUAAUAUACUUUUCUUUAAUAACCGAAAAAAUAAUAUAAAAAGUCCUUAAGCUUUAAGAAAAUUAUUAAACCAUAAUAAAUUGAAGAUAUAAAUUGUACAAGUCCAAAAAUUCUAAAACCGGAAUACACUCAAAGAGUCAGAGUGCAUAAGUCUAGAAUCUUUUACAACUCAAUUUAAUUUCUCAAAUAUUAAAUGACUUGUAUUCUACCAUUUAUAUCCAUUCCUAAAUUGCCCAAGUUCUCAUUAGCUACUCGACAAGAAAAUUUUAAAACGAACAGAUAAAAGAACUAACUAGGUUAGAAUUUUUUUAGCUAUGAUCAUUAGAAUGAUAAACUUCAGAUCAAAAAGAGGAGAAACAAGAAUAUAGAUCAAAAAGAGGAGAAACAACACACUACCAAGAAUAUACAUAAAAGCUCAACAACUUCAUCAGCAAAAUCAUAUCCGAAAAAUGCACCCCCAAAAAUAAUUAUUUCUCAAAUAUUCACCUUUCUUGCUUUUAUCAUAUGAUCAUAUGUAUUUACAGGAGGACUAAAUGCUAGAAGGAAAAUACCGGAUAAUGGCAGCAUUUCGAUUUCCAUAAAAUUAAGUGGUGAUAAAAGAUGGCCUUAGUGAUUGUAUGUAGAGAGUGCUAUGGCAUUCUGCCCAAUCGAUUAACAUAAUUCAUGAUAUAUGGCAUUUUUAUAUUUGGAAAAGAAAUCACACAUGCACAAAAUCCCACCACUACACACACAAAAUUAAUCAAAUAAAAUUAGCCCAUUAAUACUACAUUAGCAAUUAACUUCCAUCUUAAUAUAGCAAUUGAAACUUCAACACCCAAAAUCUCAAAUCUGCGAAUAAUAAAAUCAAAGAAAUAAGCCAAGCUCAAGAAAAAAAACAAAUAAUACAUAGUAAAUCAACGAACCUUGAUAGGGGCGGCGACAGAUAAAGACGGUGGAUGGAGUUUCGGUGGCGAUAUGCGGAGGGCCUGCUUCAACAACAACGGGUCGAGGGGGCUGAAGCUGUGAUGACAGGCAAAGGGGGGAGCUGUCACGGCGAGGAGAGCAGGGGAAGAGAGGGCUAAAAAGAGACGACGAUAGGCAAAAUGGAGCAGCGGCGGCUAGAGGCCGAUAGGCGACGGCGAUGGGCAGGAGGAGAGAUAGGGAGAAUCGUG
rnacentral:lncRNA from 1 species